UAUCCAUGAUGUGGACACUUCAAAAGUAACAUCGUUGAAUCACUCCCAUGCUUCAAAGAAUUGCUCAUCUUCUCUCUGAGUAAACUCUGAAAUUUCUCCAUGAAUAG
rfam:Citrus sinensis cultivar Ridge Pineapple sweet orange scaffold01361_contig_3, whole genome shotgun sequence.